rnacentral:rRNA from 1 species
UGAGGAAUAUUGGUCAAUGGGCGAGAGCCUGAACCAGCCAAGUCGCGUGAAGGAAGAAGGUUCUAUGGAUUGUAAACUUCUUUUGCAGGGGAAUAAAGGACGGUACGUGUACUGUUUUGUAUGUACCUUGCGAAUAAGGAUCGGCUAACUCCGUGCCAGCAGCCGCGGUCAUGCGGAGGAUCCGAGCGUUAUCCGGAUUUAUUGGGUUUAAAGGGUGCGUAGGUGGAUUGGUAAGGCAGUGGGGAAAGUUUUGAGCUCAACCGAAAAAU